ACCAAACUCCCCCCUGCUCCCCAAAUUAUGCCUCCAAGUCUGCUAUAUGUUUGAUUGGAUUACAUAACGUGUUCUGUGGGGUCUUCUCCAAGAUCAAAGUUCAAAGGUAUCAAUACUCUUGUCACUUUACAGUCCAACUUCCACUUCCACAGUUUAAGGGAAUGCCAUGGUUUGCACGACUCCAAUUCUUCGCAGGUGACACGGGUUGGCUUACAAGUUAUAAAACAGGUCAACAUAAUUAAUAUAUUAAAACAUUAAGGCUGCAGA